rnacentral:rRNA from 1 species
GACGAACGCUGGCGGCGUGCCUAAUACAUGCAAGUUGAGCGCUGAAGGUUGGUACUUGUACCGACUGGAUGAGCAGCGAACGGGUGAGUAACGCGUGGGGAAUCUGCCUUUGAGCGGGGGACAACAUUUGGAAACGAAUGCUAAUACCGCAUAAAAACUUUAAACACAAGUUUUAAGUUUGAAAGAUGCAAUUGCAUCACUCAAAGAUGAUCCCGCGUUGUAUUAGCUAGUUGGUGAGGUAAAGGCUCACCAAGGCGAUGAUACAUAGCCGACCUGAGAGGGUGAUCGGCCACAUUGGGACGGAGACACGGCCCAAACUCCUACGGGAGGCAGCAGUAGGGAAUCGUCGGCAAUGGACGAAAGUCUGACCGAGCAACGCCGCGUGAGUGAAGAAGGUUGUCGGAUCGUAAAAAUCUGUUGGUAGAGAAGAACGUUGGUGAGAGUGGAAAGCUCAUCAAGUGACGGUAACUACCCAGAAAGGGACGGCUAACUACGUG